UACGAAGGGGGCUAGCGUUGUUCGGAAUUACUGGACGUAAAGCGCACGUAGGCGGAAUGUUAAGUCAGGGGUGAAAUCCCGGGGCUCAACCCCGGAACUGCCUUUGAUACUGGCAUUCUCGAGUCCGGAAGAGGUGAGUGGAAUUCCGAGUGUAGAGGUGAAAUUCGUAGAUAUUCGGAGGAACACCAGUGGCGAAGGCGGCUCACUGGUCCGGUACUGACGCUGAGGUGCGAAAGCGUGGGGAGCAAACAGG
rnacentral:rRNA from 1 species